ensembl:snRNA U6 U6 spliceosomal RNA
UCGCUACGGCAGCGCAUAUACUAAAAUGGGAUCGAUACAGAGAAGAUUAGCAUGGCCCCUGUGAAAGGAUGACACAAAUCUGUGAAGUGCUCCAUAUUUUU